UUCUGCCAUGAUGCCAUCUGCUAUGGGGCCCUCACCAGAGGCUGAACAGAUGGGGCUGCUACAGCUUGGACUUUCAGCCUCCAAAAUUCUGAGCCAAAAAAACCUCUUUUCUUUUUAAGGAUUUAUUUAUUUAUUUGAAAGGCAGAGUUACAGAGAGGCAGAGGCAGAGAGAGAGGUCUUCCAUCCGCUGGUUUACUCCCCAAUUGGCCGCAACAGCCAGAGCUGUGCUGAUUCAAAGCCAAGAGUAUCUUCCGGGUCUCCCACGUGAGUGCAGGGACCCAAGGACUUGGGCCAUCUUCUACUGCUUUCCCAGGCCAUAGCAAAGAGCUGGAUUGGAAGUGAAGCAGCUGGGACACAAACCAGUGCCUAUAUGGGAUGCUAGCACUGCAGGCAGCAGCUUUACCCGCUAUGCCACAGCACCGGCCCCAAAACCAGGUAUUUUUGUUAUAGCUACAGGAAAAAGACAAAUACAAUACUGCAGAUCUCUGCCUCGUCCUCUAUCCAAGAACUUCUCUCGAGUGGAACUCCCGAAUUUUCACAGGACUCAUGCCUUUGCUUUGCUCUCCUUUUGGAUUUUAACAAAACAUGGUGUACUUCUGGCUUCUCUUUCUUGCAAAGUGUCCCAGCCUUUGGGAUCGAGAUGGCAUCAGGGAUGCUGCAGGGCUCACAAGUCCCCUUUGGUUAUGGGACUUCCCCUGGCUCUGCUCCUGACUCCUUCUGGAACCCACUCAAGAGACAAGAAAUCCGAUUUCAAGGAAGAGAAAUGCAUUUCAUUACUCGGCAGUAAGUUGGAUUGGCUAUUUAUUAGCAUCUAUUUCAACAUCCCAGCCAUCUCUUGUAAUGACAGGAGAGGCUGAUCCACAUUUGUGGCAAAACAUUUAAGAACUUCCAGAAAUGUAUGCUUCCUGUUCAGGGCACCGACAAUCCGGAGAUGUAAUGACGGUCGUGAAAUCUGGGUUUCGGAAUUCCUUUGAAACCGGUCCAGGCUUGUCAGUGGCUUUGAAGAGCAUAUGGCGAAAGGCAGCAAUAAUAAAAAACCCAAGGAGGCACAGCUCAA